UUUUAAAAAGGGGAGUCCAAGAUUUCACUUAAACCCCCCAAACCCUUCAUCUUCACAAUAAAAACAUUGCCAAACAGGCCCUUAACACCAAACGACCGUCUUGAAGAACAAACAACACAAAAAUGACUGCUCAUCAUCUUCUUCGUACAACAAACGAGCCCUGAGCAUAAUCCCAUGCUCCAAAUUCAUGCGAACCCAGCUGUAUUUGCCCUUUUUUUGUAUUGUUUCGUGUCAUCAUCUCACAGAACGGUAAUACGCUGACCCAUUUCUGUUCUUCAAAUGGUAUUUUUUUUUUCUUCAUUUUCGUACACAGAUUCAGAUUUCAAAGCAAAUAGAAAUGAAUUUCAAGUUUCAAAUACAUCCCACAUCGAAUUUGAACAUCUUAAACCCUAGAACUGGCCAUCUACAAUUAGAAGACCAUUUUUUCAUUCUAAAAAGGAGAAAAACAAUGGCUCUAGGACCAGAAAUCCUGAUUCUCAUACCAUGAAAUGGGUUUUUAUAACCCUAAGAGUGAGAACACUCAAUUUUGAGGACGUUCUCACUGAAGUAUAAUUUUUGGAAAUCGUUUCCGCUUGUUCGAAUCGAUUAGGGUGGAAAGGUUGUUCGUUGAUUCUCGUCUCGAAAAGGUGGCGACGUGGUACCGAAGGAGAAUAAGUGGACAACAACUUAGCUAACCGACAAGGUAGACAGGGAGGCGAGCUUGAUCCAGAUACUUAGGAGCUGUCAGCUGUUGAGAGCACUCCAUUGUUCGGAGGUGGACAGAGAGACAGACUUGAUCCUUAGAUUAUUUUUUCAAGGACUGCAUCGAGGAGUUCCAUUUGAUCCGGAGCUGCAGCCAUUGGUACUAUUCUUUUGUGUACGUACAUAUGGGCAUGGUGGGGUCCUGUCUCGUCUGUAUGAUGUUGUAUACUUGUUAUAUCCCGUAUUUUGUACGUUCGGACAAUCCAAGAUAAUUGCGAGAAGUUAAGGGCAAGGCUAUAUUUCGAUCUUGUUUAAUACACAAGUUGUUUAUGAAUAUUAUUGGUAUGGAAAUAUUGAGAAAGGCUAAGGGUAAAAAGGGAAAUUCGCAAAAUGGUUCAUGGUAAUAUUGUGGAAAGGCUAGGGGCAAAAUGGGAAUUUCACAAAAUGUUCAAGAAAAUUCUUGAAGAAGGCCACUUUGGCCGUGUGGCAUAUAUAUAUAUUAUAUGUGGAAAAGUGAUGACAAAAUAAAAUAAUUAGUCAUCUUUAUUUUAAUAUUUAAGAAACUUCAAGAAAGAGGGCAUGUGUUCACAUGGUAUUGGAAGGAGCUAUAUAUAUAUAUAUAUAUAUAUAUAUAUAUAUAUAUAUAUGUAGAGAGAUGACCAAGCAAGACAAAUUAUUCAUGAAAUCUCAAGAAGAAAACAUGGAGAGAAAAAAAUAGGGCCAUUCGGCCAAGGUUCCAAAAUUUGGUGCCAUGGAAAUUUAUCAAGAAAAAUUAUUUUCUUUUAGUAUUCCAACUAAUUUGAAGGCCCUAAUUAACAUGGAGUGGUUGUUGGAACAAGCAAAAUAUUCAUGGUGCAAGAUGGAAGCUCUAGCCGAAUAGAGGAGUCAAAGAAUAAAGGUACACCAGAUGAGUUGAAGCUAUUAUAGAAGAUGUUCCAGCAGAGUUGGCAAGCUCCACUUGCUCCUAGAGUGCUGCCGAGUCAGAGUAUAUGUGCUAUGAUGUCUGGUUAAUGUUAGAGACUUUGCAGACAGAGUCGUGGGAAUUGGGUGCCAGUUCUGUAAGCGGCUCCAUCAGCCGAUGUGUCAUUUUGUGUUAUGAUAUAAAUUCCAUAUGAUUACAGAUUUUGUUUGAUUUGAGAACAAAGAAAAAGAAUAUUUCUGAAAGUGUUACUAUGUAUUUCAUGUUUAUUUGAUUUAAAGGUCCAAAGAGGUUAUGUGUGUAUUAAGAGUCAGAGGGUUCGCUCGGCUCUAAGUAAGGGUCGGGUGCCCAUCACACCCUAGCGAAAUUAGGGUGUGACAAUACUCUCUUUAGAAUCUCGUAGACGGUUGUGUAUGGUUUGAUGUCUUUUAGCCUUGUCGGCUUAUAUUUUGUAUAUCAUUUUGUUAGCCUUGCGGCUUGUGUAUAUGGAUAUGGACCUAGUUGUUGAUGAUGAUAUAAAUUUGUCGUUGCCCAAUGAGAUUAGUAUUGUUGAUGUAUAGAAAUCAUGCGUAGGCCAUGUGACUCACCUAGAUGUGAAUAUGAAUGUACGAUGCAAAGGUGCCCGAGUGGGUUAGCACCGGGUGCCCGUCAUGGCCCUUCAGUUGGGUCGUGAUAGAUAUAUUCCUGUAUGUCGACUCUUAUUGGUGAUUUCCCUAGUUUACUGGCUUACUUAUUCUCCAGAGUUCGAACUUUUUCUUUUGAUAUCAUUUAUUGAUUUUACUACCUUACUUUGGUUUUAUUAAC